UACAGAGGUCUCAAGCGUUGUUCGGAUUCAUUGGGCGUAAAGGGCGCGUAGGCGGCUCGCGAGGUCGGGGGUGAAAUCCCACGGCUUAACCGUGGAAGGGCCUCCGAUACCGGCGGGCUGGAGGAAGGUAGGGGUGCGCGGAACUUCUGGUGGAGCGGUGAAAUGCGUUGAUAUCAGAAGGAACGCCGGCGGCGAAAGCGGCGCACUGGACCUUUUCUGACGCUGAGGCGCGAAAGCCAGGGGAGCAAACGGG
rnacentral:rRNA from 1 species